AUCACAGCCCGGCGGCGGGCAGAGCAGGGCAGGACAGAGCGAGCCGGGGCACUGCAGCUCGGCCGGAGGUCCCCGCCACGCUCGGCCGACAGCGGGGGGAACGCGGCCCCCGCCCGGCAGGACCGCGGGCCCCGCUUGCCGCCCGCCCCGCGCCGCGCUCCUCCCGCCCGGGCCGGCCCCCGGCGCCCCACGUGCCGCACGGCGGCCAAUGCCCCGGCCCCGCCGCCUCCCUCCCUCCGUUGUCACGGCAACACGGCGCGGCACGGCUCGGCACGGUCCGGCACGGCGGCGCGGUGCCCGCUGCCCGGGGACAGCCGUGCCCUGCGCUGCGAGCGGCGCCGCUGGGUUCCAUCCCAAGUGUCUUUCAUCGUCAGCUGUCAAAGAAGUGAUGUCUGAUGCAGCAGAUCAAGAUUCCUGUGAUUCCUGGAGACAAUUACUGCCUGUUAAAUGAUGUGGCACAACUGCUUUUGACACGGCUGCCACCUCUGUGGUAUAAUGCUACUGCAGCUGGGAGAAUAUUAUUGCAAAAGGAUGAAGACAAUCAGAAAUAGACUGGAAGGUUCCAAGGAGUACUUUCUCACUGGAGACACAGCCAAGACAAAACUGAGGAGGAACUAGGAGAACAAUGGAGAGGUAAUUGCACUCCUCUCAGAUGGAAAGCUUAUUCUCCUCACCAGAAAUGAUUUCCUGGACUGAACACUUUGCUGCAAAGCUUUGUUUACAUACAGAGGAGUCCUUUCAUUGGAAACAACCUGGUCCAUGUGCAGUGCUGCUCCUCAGGUUUCCCAUGGCACAUGGGAUGCCCUGUGCCUUCUUUGCUCUCCUGGCAGCAGCAGCAGGAGCUUAGCACCUCUCAGGACGGAAUCUCUUCUUCUGCCAGUCUUCCAGAGGCUCAGGUCUAGCAGUCAUCAGGCCUUCUUGCCAACAGAAACUGAGCCCUUCCUGCAUGUCUAUAACUCACCUUGGGAAAAGUAACUUGCAUAAUCCCUUCUCUAUUUGGAGCAACUCCUGAAACUGAUAUUUCAUAAACUUUGCAUGCUGCUUUAGUAGCUGAUCUGUGAUGUGUAAUUAGAUGUAAGCUCCAAAUGAGAACAGUGCAGUCUCCUCUGAAGUGGUGACUGGUAGCAAUGGAAAUGGAGAAACAGGAUGGUAAAAACAAAGAAAGGUUCUGUUUUACAAAAAUACUAAUGGCUUGUUCUUUUUAAAUGUCAAUCUUAGCAGACACCUACUCAGUCAGAUCAUUAAGUUUAAUUGCAUCAGCACUUGACUAAUCAGGCAAUAAUGCACUGAAAAGUAAAUUAUUGACUUGUGAAUCGUUCAUCAAUCUCUGAAAGAGGGGAAAAUUAUUUUCUUUUACAUAGAACAUCUUUUCUGUGGCUGUAAUAUUAAUUCUAGACUGAAAGCAGGUUUUUUAAAAUUUUUUUCAAUAUUUUUUCAAGGAGAUUGUGCAAGUCCACUGAUGAAUGCUAAUGUUACACACUGUUUACCCAGGACUAAGCUUGAUGGAAAUAUUAAUCAGAAAACAUAUAGGUUUCCAUAUUAAAGUAGAAGUUUUUGUAGCAACAGCAGGCCAUGACCAGAAGCUGGAGAUGUAUGUCUGCCAAGAGAAACAGCAAGAUACUGCCAGCAGUAGGUUUGGGGGAAAUGGAAGCACAAGAACUGUUUUCAGUCUAGGGAAUCUCUCUCCCCUCAUCACUAUGUUUACUUCUGAGCGGAUACAUCCAGGAGCUGUACCCCAAUUACUCAAUGCAGUGAUCCAUCAGGAAUCCAGGCACUCCAUUUGCAUUAUUUUCAUUAAUUUCAGUGGAAAGUGAGUGCAUAACACUUGGAAGGAGGUGACUGGAGUUUUGCAAUGUUGUUUUCCUGUUGUUAAUGAGUUGAUCUAUCUUGCAAUAGCUUCCAACACAGUUGUGUGGAAGUAAGUGCACCAAAUUAAUUGCUGGUGUAACUCCAUCUGGUAGGAGUUCAUGAAGUUCAGCUUCUGGUGCCUCUGCCAGCCCUGUUUACUUUCCCUCUCGUGCUGCAGCAGCUGGGCCAUGGCUUUGCACUGCUCCAGUUUGGUGGCAAUCCCCACUAGCUGCUGCCUCUCCAACAGCUCCCUCAUUUACAGCACGACUCAGGCUGGCAGCCUGUGCCCCCAUAUCCCUCCCCUGCUCCCAGAGCUUGUGGCACCAGUGAUGCUUACAGAGUUUCCCUGGCUCUCUGCAGAGAGAGAGCUCUGGUCAGCCUGUCAGGGAGGCCCUGCCCUUGCCAUUUUCAGGCAAUGCUCAUCCUCUGCCACGUUAGUGCCCAUUUUGUAGAGGAGGCCAGCAGGGAGACAGAGCCAGCAUCCCUCCAAAGGGCCAGCUUGUCCCAGAUGUCACCCUGCAGCAGAGCUGUGGCACCGGGGACAAAACCAGCACAGUGAGCACGGGCACAACACGUUCAAGGAUUGCCACAGCUGCGCUGCUGAGGGUGUUGGAAUCACACACAACUUUCCACGGGCGCUGUGAAUGAAAAGGAUAAUUCAUUUAUGUAGAGAAGCAAUUACCUUGCUGGAACAACAGGUCCAACCUAUAGUUCCACCCAAGCUAAAUUAAGGCCACAACUCCUACCUGACUUAUGAGAGUAGGGCAGGAAAGUAGCACGUUGUUAAAUACGAGGCAAUAUUUAAUGUAACCCCAUGCCAGGUUUACAAGAGAAGCCAUGUAUCAUUUACUAAAGCAGUCAGUGGGUUGGGGCUUAUUAGGUAAAUGUCAGAGCUAUGGAAAACUGCCAUGGCCUUGUUCUAAAAAUUUUAAUCACAUCAUUAUUAGCCAUAGUCCAUCUAAUAUAUUCAUGGCCUUUUAGUGGCCUAUACUAUGUGUUGAUAGUAAAGACUGAAUGGAAAUGGCACUGAACAGAAUGAGUUGCACAUAGUCACCAGGACUGGGGUUUUUUCAAUACAGAAAUGUGAAAUAUAUCCAGAUUCAUGUUUAAGUGGUUUCAAAUUUUUCUGGGUUUAUUUUUCUUCAUACAAACAUUCCCUAAAAUUCCACUCAUGAGCUGCUGUCCUGUAAUCUUAUGACUGUAGUGAAGAAUUCUGAGGCUCCCCUCACUUCUUGACAAGGUCAGUUAUAUCAUCAGUCCUGGGCCCAGCUCCACUCUCUUCAUACACCAAAUUUCCUUGAUACACACAAAGCCUGUGUCUCUCACCCCAAGCGCAGUGUCUCACCCCAAGCACACUGUACCUGAAGCAAAACAAUUGCUUUUUUCAGGAGUUUGAAAUCCUCAAAGUGACAGCAUCAUAGCAAAACUAUAGCAAAAAAAAAAAAAAAAAAAAAGAACAUUAAAGCUGAAUAUUGCAAGUCCAGAUUGUGCUUCACUGGGUGAAAAUAAAUAAAUAUAUAUAUACAUGUAAAUCUCUGUGCCUGCCAGAUGUCAUUAAGAGGAAAUCUUUGGUCAUACACAAAGGUCAGUUCCUCUUCACAAAAAAGCAGCUGGAAUUUCAGCUCAGCCUGUGCUGGGUAGACUUUUCUCUCCCACUUUCAAACCAGGUCAAUUUUAAUUUUAAUCCUUACAGUUGAUUUGUUCUCAUGUUGUAUAACAUUAUUUGAAGGGGAAGGGAAGCUUACGUUCAUUCAACAAUCUCAAACAAAGACAGUGAAGUAUAGUACAUACACUAAAAUAAAUAAAAUUGCAGAAACUUAUUCAAUUGCUCACCUUUGGAUGUCAGGUAGAACUCGAAAACAAGAGAGAUCAGCAUACACAUUUAUAUGGAAGUCAAUACUUCCUUAAUUAGGCUGGGUAUUUUUUUCAAACUAGCAAUACAGUUGGAAUAUUGUAGCUGUGCUUAUAUUGCUUUUGGCUCCUUCUGAAUUUCUUGGUUAAUUUAUUUCCCUUUAAAGUUGUUUGACUGAGUUUCUUUCUUUACACAAAACAUAAGCAGCUUCACUGCCUGGAAAACACAGAGCCUGAUUGUUCUUACC